GUGAACGCUGGCGGUAUGGAUAAGGCAUGCAAGUCGAAUGGGUUAGACCCAUGGCAGACGAGGUAGUAACAGGUAGGAACGUCCCCGGAAGUCGGGCAUAACCGGUCGAAAGAUCGGAUAAUUCCCGAUACGUCGCAAGAUGAAAGAUUUAUCGCUCCCGGAGCGGCCUGCCUUGUAUCAGCUAGUUGGUGAGGUAAUGGCUCACCAAGGCUACGACGCAUAGGGGACCUGAGAGGGUGACCCCCACCGAUGAGACUGAGACACGGCUCAUACCCCUACGGGGGGCCGCAGCCGAGAAUAUUCGACAAUGGGCGAAAGCCUGAUCGAGCGAUACCGCGUGGUGGAUGAAGUGCUUCGGCACGUAAACAUCUUUUAUGGAGGAGGAAGUCAUUGACGUUACUCCAUGAAUAAGGGGCUCCUAACUCUGU
rnacentral:rRNA from 1 species